rnacentral:misc_RNA from 1 species
CUGGCUUACCUCCUCAGUUAUGCGUCAUGACUUGUAUCGUCUUGAGCGUAUUGUGGGUUUCCUGUGUUGCAUACCUAACUAAUGGAAUCGUUUUGGUUGAUCGAAGUCCCUUUUCAUCAUGUUUUGCUUUUGUGAUGCAUGAUGAACCUUGAAGCGGUCUCUAUGUUCCACCAUGUUGAUGCUACUGUGUUUAUGUUGUGGCCCAUUGAGUGUUGCUUGGUUUCAUGGAUACAGAACAUGAUUUGGGCAUAGUGUCACUCGUGACUCUUGUUUUGUCCUUUAUCGGUGUUCUUUAUAACGACGGUUCAUGCGCGCCUAGGCUCGUACCUGCGCGAUGUUCUUUGUCGAAGAGGAAUGCUACCUGGUUGAUCCUGCCAGUAGUCAUAUGCUUGUCUCAAAGAUUAAGCCAUGCA